rnacentral:rRNA from 1 species
GAAACGACUGCUAAGACUGGAUAGGAGACAAGAGGGCAUCUUCUUGUUUUUAAAAGACCUAGCAAUAGGUAUGCUUAGGGAGGAGCUUGCGUCACAUUAGUUAGUUGGUGGGGUAAAGGCCUAACAAGACUAUGAUGUGUAGCCGGGCUGAGAGGUUGAACGGCCACAUUGGGACUGAGACACGGCCCAAACUCCUACGGGAGGCAGCAGUAGGGAAUUUUCGGCAAUGGAGGAAACUCUGACCGAGCAACGCCGCGUGAACGAUGAAGUAUUUCGGUACGUAAAGUUCUUUUAUUAGGGAAGAAUAAAUGAUGGAAAAAUCAUUCUGACGGUACCUAAUGAAUAAGCCCCGGCUAACUAUGUGCCAGCAGCCGCGGUAAUACAUAGGGGGCAAGCGUUAUCCGGAAUUAUUGGGCGUAAAGGGUGCGUAGGCGGUUAAAUAAGUUUAUGGUCUAAGUGCGAUGCUCAACAUUGUGAUGCUAUAAAAACUGUUUAGCUAGAGUAAGAUAGAGGCAAGUGGAAUUCCAUGUGUAGUGGUAAAAUGCGUAAAUAUAUGGAGGAACACCAGUAGCGAAGGCGGCUUGCUGGGUCUUUACUGACGCUGAGGCACGAAAGCGUGGGGAGCAAACAGGAUUAGAUACCCUGGUAGUCCACGCCGUAAACGAUGAGUACUAAACGUUGGGUAAAACCAGUGUUGAAGUUAACACAUUAAGUACUCCGCCUGAGUAGUACGUACGCAAGUAUGAAACUUAAAGGAAUUGACGGGACUCCGCACAAGCGGUGGAUCAUGUUGUUUAAUUCGAAGGUACCCGAAAAACCUCACCAGGUCUUGACAUGCUUCUGCAAAGCUGUAGAAACACAGUGGAGGUUAUCAGUUGCACAGGUGGUGCAUGGUUGUCGUCAGCUCGUGUCGUGAGAUGUUGGGUUAAGUCCCGCAACGAGCGCAACCCUUAUUGUUAGUUACCAGCACGUAAUGGUGGGGACUUUAGCAAGACUGCCAGUGAUAAAUUGGAGGAAGGUGGGGACGACGUCAAAUCAUCAUGCCCCUUAUGACCUGGGCUACAAACGUGAUACAAUGGCUGUUACAAAGGGUAGCUGAAGCGCAAGUUUUUGGCAAAUCUCAAAAAAACAGUCUCAGUUCGGAUUGAAGUCUGCAACUCGACUUCAUGAGGUUGGAAUCGCUAGUAAUCGCGAAUCAGCAUGUCGCGGUGAAUACGUUCUCGGGGUUUGUACACACCGCCCGUCA